AUCGUUAACGAACGAGACCUUACUCUGCUAAAUAGCCAGGCUAACUUUGGUUGGUCGCCGGCUUCUUAGAGAGACUAUCAACUCAAGUUGAUGGAAGUUUGAGGCAAUAACAGGUCUGUGAUGCCCUUAGAUGUUCUGGGCCGCACGCGCGCUACACUGAUAAAGGCAACAAGUAGUUCACCUUGGCCGGAAGGUCUGGGUAAUCUUCUGAAACUUUAUCGUGAUGGGGAUAGUCCUUUGCAAUUAUUGGACUUCAACGAGGAAUUCCUAGUAAGCGUGAGUCAUCAGCUCGCGUUGAUUACGUCCCUGCCCUUUGUACACACCGCCCGUCGCUAAUACCGAUUGAAUGGAUA
rnacentral:rRNA from 1 species